GAAAGGUUGGUUUCUUAUCCGUAGAUUUUUCUUUUAAUGAUUUAAGUAGUUAUAUAGACAGGGUUAGCCUGUAUAGAGAGAUUCUGUUCUAUAAAUUUGCAACAUGUCCUAAAAACAUAAGAUCUGAAUAUGAGGUAUAAGAUUGCAUUAGUCAGACAAUUCCUUUAUUCAUAGACAAUCCACCCGUUUUGUGUUUAGCUAUUAAACUUUUGAGUCAUUUGCUUAUUUUCUUUCUCUGUUUAAGGUAAUGUAUCACUUUUC
rnacentral:misc_RNA from 1 species